AGCCUUCAUUUCAUGUGGUUACGUACCUUGACUGAACAUUGAAAUAAAUAUUAUUUGUGCCUCCAAGCAGGGUCUUAAUUACCUUCAAAAUCAUUCUAAAACAAUGAAUUUGUCCAGUCUUGUGUCAUGGACUUCUCUGGUGUAUACAUAUUUAGUGCAUAUCAGCUUCAUGACACCCAGCCCUUCAUAUGAGCGGUUUACAAAAGUGAUCUAGCAAAACAACAUUGAAGCAGGUGUGAGCUAAGCUUAGGUCAUUUUCUCCCACACGUAGCACAUGACCUUCACCACUGUCAGUGUUUAGGGUUAAGUUUCUAUUGCAAAAGAGAAUUUUUCUUUACUUCUUUGUCCUUCUCAGGCAUAUAUUUGACCUGCUAGGUUAAAACCAGUUAUGAUCAAGCUGGAAGACUUUCUGGGUAAAACAUUUCUCCACAACCUCUCAGCCUAGAUCCAGCACUAGUGUUAUUGUAGUACGCUGAGCCAAAACCAUUUUACUUGUGUAGGUGAAGGAAACCAAGAAUAACUAUAUAGCACCAGGUGUGGUGGUAUCUGUCUUUAAUUCCAAAAUUUAGGAGGAACAGGCUGACAGAGCUCUGUGAGUUUAAGGUCAGUGUGGCCUACAUAGCUGCAUAGAUACCCUUCUGAACUUACCCCAGUCAUGAGUAGCUUGUAGAAUGUCUUUUUGAGCCUCUCACCUGUUUCUGUCUCAGAAUGGACUGAGCUUGUCUUUGGUUUUCUUCCACAUUAAGUACUUAGAUCAUCAGUUUCAAAAUACAGACAAUAGCUUCAGCUUUUUACUGUGUUUUACUUUUUGCAGAAGUGGUUGGUUUGGGGUUUGGGUUUUUUGUUUGUUUUGGGUUGGGUUUGGUUUGUAAAUUUUUAAAAAGUAGAAGUAGCCUAUAUUCAGUUCAAACAUGGAGAACUGCCUCAGCAGUUGUAAGAACACUUCCAAGUUUAGUUCCCAGCACUGAGGGCAGGCAGCUCAUGGCCGCCUAUAAUUCAAGCUCCAGGGGACUGCUGCAGUCUCUGGCCUCUGGGCAUUUGCACAUACAUACAUGCAUGCAUGCAUGCAUACAUACCAUACACACACACAAAAUCUUUUUUAAAAAAUGAAUAAAAUUCACAAGGAACAGCCAAGCAUCAUGACCUAUACCAUGCACUAGGGAGUCUGAAACAGGAGAAUUCUAAGUUUGAGGCCCAUCUGGUCUACAUAGCAAGCCCUUGGCUGAAGAAGGGUUAACUGCUUUAACCUGCACUUGAAUGGAUGUGGUAUAGAGAUGGGCCCACAGUAAAUGUAAGUACAGUUGGUGAUAAAUAGUAGGGUAGAGGAAAGCCACAUUAAGUUGAUUUUUAAUUGGUGUAAUAUAACAUGUUUCCACAUUGUAUUUUAAUUUUCAUUACUAAUUGAGGUGAAAAUGCAGAAAUAAUUCUUUGAUGUUUUUGCAGGAGUUAUGGAUAAGCUUGCCAGGUUUAGUUCCAUGUUUUUGUUACCAUCUCUGUUAUACUUUGGCUCUGAUUGUCCCCUUUUUAUCAAGUUUUUCUUAGAAAAUAAUGUGACUCUGUUCUGCUUGUGUCCCUGAAAAAGCACCAAGGGAAGCUGUGCGGUCUUCACCUCACACUGAAGCCUUUCACGCCAGGAGGCAAGAGGUGCCAGGAAGUGUGGUGCUAAGCAGUUAGAAGAUAAGUAAGAAAAUGGGCCCUUUCAAAGAAAGUCUUGGUUAUCACAAACAUGCCCUAAAAGUGUCCUCUUAAGGGACAUACUCUGUAUGGCAGCCAGUGGUCCCAUUUCCUGUAUCCACAAGGAAACAGAUCACGUAUGGUGUGGCUUGACAAGGAAACUGCUGAUGGCCGUGGUAAUGAUAUUCUCCUGUCCUCUGCAUCUUCAGACAGGAGCAGGUCUGUACCGUAGCAGCGAGAGUGGCCAGGUGGAGACUGAUACCAACCCUUCACGGCUGGUAAACAGUGUUAGCUACUGUGCUAAGUGUCAUGCCUUAGUGCCACCAGCUCCUUGACAGUAUUCUUCCAGAGAACUUGUGUCAUGUUCCUGCAGCCAUGUAUGUGAAUGCUCAGGGAACUUGGAUGAUCUCAUGCAGACGUUCUAGGAAUUAGCACUAUGACACAUGGAGUAGAGCAAGCCAGUUUCUUGAUUGAAUUGGUAGCUCACAUGAAAGGUGACAGUAGCUUUGGCAUUCUUUGUCCUGUAUUUUAAGUAAAAAAUUUUUGCUAGAUGGCGGUGGUACACACCCUUUAUCCCCCAGCACUUUGGAGGCAGAAAUUGAUCAGUCAUAUCUCAGAGGACUGGAAUAAGAAAAAUCUAUAUACAGGCAAACAGUUGUGCUAAUGAGAGUUUGCUUUGUACUAGGGAAUGGGAAUUGUGUAGUGGGCAUUGCUAAGACCAUCAAGAACUGGGCCCAGUAUUCUAAGCUAGUACAAAUGACCUGUCAGAGGAGCCCUUUACUUUCUGCUCCCUUUCUGAGAUCCUAAAUGAAUUUGGAAUCAGGUCAGCAGAAGACCAGUAGGAGCUUUUAAGUUCUAAAUGGUAACUGAAACAAAACAGGAUGUGGAACUGUUAGAAGUAACUAUAAUUUGAAUACGGCAGUUUGUUGCUAUUAUAUAUAAUAUGUAAUGGUGUGGAACCAAAUGUAAAAUGCUUUGAGAAAUUCACAUACAGCAUUUGAAAUCAAGCACCAGAUGAAAACCAGUUGUUUUGGGACUUACUAUGGUGAUAUGUACAUGUAAUUCCCGCACUGGAGGCUAAGGCAGGAGGAUUGGGAGUUUGGGGCCAGUCUGGAUUACUUAGCAAGUUCCAGGACAACCUAGGUGGGUGUACAGAGUGAGACCUGCCCUGGGUUUGGGAGUGGGGGUAUGAAAAUUAGUUUUAAAAAAAUGAUAGAAGCUAUUUCAGAUAGUUGUCUUAAGAUUUCCUACAACAAUUGAAACUUGGAAUUUGAAAUUGUGUAUUUGCAUAUCUAGUUUGACAAGAGAACUUGGUAGCUGUCAGUUACUCCAUGGUACCUUUGUAUAUAGACUUCCAAAGGUUAAUGUCCUAACAGCUACUUCAUUGUUUACUCAUGAGAACCCAGCUAGUAAAUAUUGAUGUUCAGGGCUGCUGGCUUGCACAGUCCUUGGGGUUCUGUUCACAUAGAACACAAUUUGGAGUUCAUCAAACACUGUUGCACUUUGAUUCAUACUUCCAAAUGAUUUUCAUUGGACGCUCACAUUCUGUCAUUUAGACGGAAUGCGCUUAUUGUGCCCUUUCCACUGUUCUUAGAUAAUAUUGUCAUUUCAGUGAGAAUUGAGACUGAUUCUCUCUGCAGGAUACACCUCUGGUUUUUGUCACUGAGAAGCCAUUGAUCUGCAAAGUAUAUCCUUUUCUCUUCCUUUGACUGGUUCCAAAUACAGUGGUGUGUCUUCAUCUGUUACACAUGCUACUGCAGCAUUAAUGCAUUUGAAUAAAUUAGUUGGAAU
rnacentral:lncRNA from 1 species